rnacentral:rRNA from 1 species
CCCUUAGAUGUUCUGGGCCGCACGCGCGCUACACUGAUGAAUGCAACGAGCUCUACCCUUGACCGAAAGGCCCGGGUAAACUUGUGAAACUUCAUCGUGAUGGGGAUAGAUUAUUGCAAUUAUUAAUCUUCAACGAGGAAUUCCUAGUAAGCGCGAGUCAUCAGCUCGCGUUGAUUACGUCCCUGCCCUUUGUACACACCGCCCGUCGCUACUACCGAUUGAAUGGUUUAGUGAGGACUCCUGAUUGGCGCCGCCGCCCCGGCAACGGAGCAGCGGACUGCCGAAAAGUUGUUCAAACUUGAUCAUUUAGAGGAAGUAAAAGUCGUAACA